rnacentral:rRNA from 1 species
AUGAGCGCUAGCGACAGGCCUAACACAUGCAAGUCGAGGGGCAGCGGAGAGGUAGCAAUACCUUUGCCGGCGACCGGCGCACGGGUGAGUAACACGUAUGCAAUCCACCUGUAACAGGGGGAUAACCCGGAGAAAUCCGGACUAAUACCCCAUAAUAUGGGCUCUCCGCAUGGAGGGUUCAUUAAAGAGAGCAAUUUUGGUUACAGACGAGCAUGCGCUCCAUUAGCCAGUUGGCGGGGUAACGGCCCACCAAAGCGACGAUGGAUAGGGGUUCUGAGAGGAAGGUCCCCCACAUUGGAACUGAGACACGGUCCAAACUCCUACGGGAGGCAGCAGUGAGGAAUAUUGGUCAAUGGUCGGCAGACUGAACCAGCCAAGUCGCGUGAGGGAAGACGGCCCUACGGGUUGUAAACCUCUUUUGUCGGAGAGUAAAGUACGCUACGUGUAGCGUAUUGCAAGUAUCCGAAGAAAAAGCAUCGGCUAACUCCGUGCCAGCAGCCGCGGUAAUACGGAGGAUGCGAGCGUUAUCCGGAUUUAUUGGGUUUAAAGGGUGCGUAGGCGGCACGCCAAGUCAGCGGUGAAAUUUUCGGGCUCAACCCGGACUGUGCCGUUGAAACUGGCGAGCUAGAGUGCACAAGAGGCAGGCGGAAUGCGUGGUGUAGCGGUGAAAUGCAUAGAUAUCACGCAGAACCCCGAUUGCGAAGGCAGCCUGCUAGGGUGCGACAGACGCUGAGGCACGAAAGCGUGGGUAUCGAACAGGAUUAGAUACCCUGGUAGUCCACGCAGUAAACGAUGAAUACUAACUGUUUGCGAUACAAUGUAAGCGGUACAGCGAAAGCGUUAAGUAUUCCACCUGGGGAGUACGCCGGCAACGGUGAAACUCAAAGGAAUUGACGGGGGCCCGCACAAGCGGAGGAACAUGUGGUUUAAUUCGACGCAACGCGAAGAACCUUACCAGGUCUUGACAUCCAACUAACGAAGUAGAGAUACAUUAGGUGCCCUUCGGGGAAAGUUGAGACAGGUGGUGCAUGGUUGUCGUCAGCUCGUGCCGUGAGGUGUCGGCUUAAGUGCCAUAACGAGCGCAACCCCUAUCGACAGUUACUAACGGGUCAAGCCGAGGACUCUGUCGAGACUGCCGGCGCAAGCCGCGAGGAAGGUGGGGAUGACGUCAAAUCAGCACGGCCCUUACGUCCGGGGCGACACACGUGUUACAAUGGCAGGUACAGAAGGCAGCCAGUCAGCAAUGACGCGCGAAUCCCGAAAACCUGUCUCAGUUCGGAUUGGAGUCUGCAACCCGACUCCAUGAAGCUGGAUUCGCUAGUAAUCGCGCAUCAGCCAUGGCGCGGUGAAUACGUUCCCGGGCCUUGUACACACCGCCCGUCAAGCCAUGGAAGCCGGGAGUACCUGAAGCAUGCAACCGCAAGGAGCGUACGAAGGUAAUACCGGUAACUGGGGCU